ACGGCGCGGCGCAGGGCUGGACCCCAGACCCCGGCCGGCCCCCGCCCCGCUCCAGCCCCCGCCAUCCGCGCCAGCACCCUGCGUGGUCGGGCAGACGGCGGCUCCCUGCGACCUGGGCCUCCUGUCCUCUGCCGCGCCUCAGGGCCGGGGCCGCCCGCUAGAGGGACAGGCUCUGCCUACGCAGCUGUCUCGCGCGGCGAAGAGCGCCCGGGGCCCGGGGCUGCGUCCUCUUCCCUGAAACCUGGCGCGUAGCGGGGCCUAGUCAGGCUGUUGAGUGAAAGCAAGCAGGGGUGGCGCGGGCCUGGCGCUCAGGUGCGCCCUAAAUGUCUGAUCAUUGCUGGCUACGAGGACGUUCGCGCAGGCUUGGAGGUGCGGGGCACGCUGACAUGUUGCCUCUGGGGUAACCCAGGGACGCGCGGCACACAGAGUUGGAGGACUAGCGACGGGUGCCGCAAGAGGUAGACCGGGAGAUCUCUCAGGGUUCCUGGGGAAGCGAUGACUGUGCAGGGUGAGAACUCAGCGUCUGGCAGAAGGCCAGGAGGGUGACCGGCAGGACCUUCCAAGAACCUGGCGUACCUGGCAACUGGGUUCGCAGCAUUAAGGCGGCAGCAAGGUAGCGGUCAACUUCCCUACCCCACCCCAGUCCUGGUCCCCGUCCAGCCGCUGACGUGAAGAUGAGCAGCUCAGAGGAGGUGUCCUGGAUUUCCUGGUUCUGUGGGCUCUGUGGACAAUGAAUUCUGUGAAGUGGAUGAAAACUACAUCCAGGACAAAUUUAAUCUUACUGGACUCAAUGAGUAGGUCCCUCACUAGUGACAAGCUCUAGAUAUGAUCUUGGACCUGGAGCCUGAUGAAGAACUGCAAGACAACCCCAACCAGAGUGACUUGAUUGAGCAGGGAGCUGAGAUGCUUUAUGGAUUGAUCCACAGCCGAUACAUCCUUACCAACCGUGGCAUUCGCCCAGAUGUUGGAAAAGUAUCAGCAGGGAGACUUUGGCUACUGUCCCCGUGUGUACUGUGAGAACCAGCCAAUGCUUCCCGCUGGCCUUUCAGGGCUCCCAGGUGAAGCCAUGGUGAAGCUCUACUGCCCCAAGAGCGUACACACCCGAGUCACCGCGGUACCAUCACACGGAUGGCACCUGUUUCGGCACUGCUUUCCCUCACAUGCUCUUCAUGGUGCAUCCCGAGUACCGGCCCAAACGACCUGCCAACCAGUUUGUGCCCAUGCUCUACGGUUUCGAGAUCCAUCUGAUGGCCUACCAGCUGUAGCUACAAGCCGCCAGCAACUUCAAGAGCCCACUCAAGACAAUUCGCUGAUUCCCCACCCGACCUGUCUUGCAGUCUUUGACACUUCCUUUCCUUUUUGCCACCUUUUCAGGAACCCUGUAUGGUUUUUAGUUUAAAUUAAAGGAGUCAUUAUUGUGGUGGGAAUAUGAAAUAAAGUGGAAGAAAAGGCCAAAAA